UUCACUUUGCACGGUUUACAUUCAGUUAAUACAAUUGAAAUUUGAGAGUAAUUAAAUAGAAAGUGAGAAAAACUUAAAAUCAUGUGUGCAAUAUACAAUAUUUUUUUCUGUUAUCACAAAAGAAGUUUUUUUUAGGAACUAAAGAGAAAAACUACGAUCGUUGUACAUGGUAAUUUUGUGCCGUCGAUGUGUCCGACGAAUAUGGAAUAUUCGGCAUAGAUAAAAGUAAGCAGGUUUUACGUACCUGUCCCGUCUUAUCAAAAUGUGGUUAACAAAAUCUCCCCCCGGGUUGAAUUUUCUUUAAUUUUGUUACAUAAACUUUUGUCGUAAAGUUGAGCGUUAAACUACAGUGUAAUAGCCGCUCGUCCUACUGCCAGAUGUUCGUCUUUACUACCCUCUAUCGUCAGUUCCGUCCCUACCAUAAAAGUUUAUGAAGUUCCUUCAUGCUUCUUUUCCAGCGAAUAAGCAAAAAUUGCCACGGGUAGGUUUAGUAAAUUCGAGAAAACGGGUCGAAGGAUUGGAAAAUCGCGUGAAACUUCAUUUCAGAGGUGUCCCACAUCACAUUUGCCACUCUAAGAAAGAUGCAUCGAUGCAAUUAAACGUAGGAAGUUUUGGACACGUCAGACGAUCACCAUAAUAGCUAAGGAAAUUCCUUGAUGAUAACAGCAUCGUACCCACAUCUAAUUAAAGCACUCGAAUCAAGAAAAUUUGAUUGUGCAUCAUGGUAAGGCCAGAAUGAUAACUUUGAGUUCAACAGCAAGAAAUGAACAGGAAAGAGAAGUGGGGAAGAAAGCGGAGAUAUUUUAUUUACCCGUUUCCCUCCGAAUCGUCGAGUCGUUCCAGGAUCGGUCCCGAAUGAUAUUUACAUUAUUCAAGCAUCGAGGCGACAAAUUCGUCUUUGGCCUACAAAAAAAAGAAAGAAGAAAAAGAUUUUCGCACAUAAAAUAGAAAGAAACGCGAUGAAGUUUACGAUCAUAAAAAACCAAAAACUAUUAAUUAACCGUCAAUUGUUUAUCCUACGAACGUCGCUUUACCCAAAUUCUUCCACAUUCACUGACGAAUACAGGAAGAAAGUUAAAAAAUUUAAAAAGAAAAGAAUGUAAAAAGUGAAUAAAUUUUCCCGACAGUUUACAGCGGUAGGUCUAUGAUUUUUUAGAUUUAGAUAGGCCGUGGGAGUACCACACGGCAACGUGCUCGGAAAUCAUUUAUAUCCUUUAAUAUUGCCACUACACCCUUACCUUAGCUGUACUAUUAGAUGUACUACAUAUAGAUGUACUAGCCUCUAACCCCGAUCCUGCGUUGCUCCGGAGGAUCAGCAGAGACAUAUCACCGACUGGUGUAGACAAAUGAAGAUAAAUGAAAGCAAAUCUAGGACAUUUACACUACGAAGUAAAUCUCUUCUCACAAACUGCUACAAUGAUUUUCCUAUGUCCAAAUCCAACUGCGUUCUUUACCUUGAGUUCCACCUAGAUAUACGCUUAAUAUGGAGCAUACAAGACAAAACAGCAAGACCUAAAUUGACGCUACUGUCUACUCUACAAAUUUAUAGAGCCGACUAUCCAAGCCAGAAAAACAUACAAUCUACAAAAGGCUACUACAACCGAUUUGGACAUGCUGAAUAGAAUUGUGGGAAACUGCUAAACCUUCCAAUAUCUAUGUAAAGUCCUAAGAUCAAUUAUAAAAGCUGGGUAUUACGUCACCAUUACUACCCACCACAACGACCUUAAAAUUCCAUUUGGCCAAAAAUCAAUUUCUAGAAAAUUUACACAAUCAACUCAACCGAAUAGUCUUGUCCAAUCGAACCCAACCCUACAAUCACAUAGGCAUCUCAAGACAGAAUAGCCAGAGACUUCU